CGCGCCGCCCGGCCCUAGGCGUUGAUCGGAGUCCCGGCUUCCACCGUCGCCGCGCGGCCAGGGCGCACUCCGCCCCGCGACCCUCCGCUUGCGCCCCAUCCACGAGCCGCCGCGCUCGGCUCCCAUCUCCCCUCCCCGGGGUCCUACCAGCCCCUUCCUGCCACCGCCGCCGCCUCUGGAGGAGCCGGUCCACCGAGGGUCACCAUGCCCAGCAAAACCAAGUACAACCUUGUGGACGAUGGGCACGACCUGCGGAUCCCCUUGCACAACGAGGACGCCUUCCAACACGGCAUCUGCUUCGAGGCCAAGUAUGUAGGAAGCCUGGAUGUGCCGAGGCCCAACAGCAGAGUGGAGAUCGUGGCUGCCAUGCGCAGGAUCCGGUAUGAGUUUAAAGCCAAGAACAUCAAGAAGAAGAAAGUGAGCAUUAUGGUUUCAGUGGAUGGAGUAAAAGUGAUUCUGAAGAAGAAGAAAAAGCUUCUUUUAUUGCAGAAAAAGGAGUGGACAUGGGAUGAGAGCAAGAUGCUGGUGAUGCAGGAUCCUAUCUACAGGAUCUUCUACGUCUCUCACGAUUCCCAAGACUUGAAGAUCUUCAGUUAUAUCGCUCGAGAUGGUGCCAGCAAUAUCUUCAGGUGUAACGUCUUUAAAUCCAAGAAGAAGAGCCAAGCUAUGAGAAUCGUCCGGACAGUGGGGCAGGCCUUCGAGGUCUGCCACAAGCUGAGCCUACAGCACACACAGCAGAAUGCCGAUGGCCAGGAAGAUGGGGAGAGUGAGAGGAACAGCAACAGCUCAGGGGACCCAGGCCGCCAGCUCACUGGAGCCGAGAGGGCCUCCACGGCCACAGCAGAGGAGACGGACAUCGACGCUGUUGACGCCCCGCUGCCAGGGAGUGACAUCCUGGAAGUCAGCCGAGGUGUGACUGACCUUGACGCUGUUGGGAAGGAAGGAGGCUCCCACAUAGACUCCAAGGUCUCGCCCCUCCCCCAGGAGCCCAUGCUGACAGCCUCGCCCCGGAUGCUCCUCCCCUCUUCUUCCUCAAAGCCCCUGGGCACGGGCACUGGCACGCCGCUGUCCACCCACCACCAGAUGCAGCUCCUCCAGCAGCUCCUCCAGCAGCAGCAGCAGCAGACGCAAGUGGCUGUGGCCCAGGUUCACUUGCUGAAGGACCAGCUGGCUGCUGAGGCUGCGGCGCGGCUGGAGGCCCAGGCUCGCGUGCACCAGCUCCUGCUGCAGAACAAGGACAUGCUCCAGCACAUCUCCCUCCUGGUCAAGCAGGUGCAGGAGCUGGAGCUGAAGCUGUCAGGACAGAACGCCAUGGGCUCCCAGGACAGCUUGCUGGAGAUCACCUUCCGCUCCGGAGCCCUGCCCGUGCUCUGCGACCCCACGACCCCGAAGCCAGAGGACCUGCACUCUCCGCCCCUGGGCGCAGGCUUGGCCGACUUCGCCCACCCGGCGGGCAGCCCCUUAGUCGACCACAGCAUGUUCGAGAACUUGAACACAGCCCUCACUCCAAAGCUCCAGUCAAGCCGUUCCUUCCCCCACUUGUCCAGACCUGCAGCCCCCAGCUCUGCUGCCCCGGGGUCCGUGGAGCCCAGCGGGCCAGGACUCUGGGUGGGCAGCAGCCAGCACCUCAAGAACCUGGGCAAAGCCAUGGGGGCCAAAGUUAACGACUUCCUGAGGAGAAAAGAGCCCUCGAGCCUGGGCAACAUGGGCACGAUGGAGGUCAACAAGACUGCAGGGGCCCAACUGGCUGGCGGGGCUGACGUGGAGGACGGAAGGUCAGCCCUGCAAGAAGCAUUCCCUCGGCUGGAUCCCCCACCUCCCAUCACCAGGAAGCGAACCCCUCGGGCCCUGAAGACCACCCAGGACAUGCUGAUUUCCUCGCAGCCCGUCCUAAGCAGUCUGGAGUGUGGGACAGAGCUGCCAUCUGGGCAGCCCCAGGAUUCCCUUCCCACUGCCCAGCCCCUCCCAGCAAAUGCUUCACAGCCAGAGGCCACCAUGGAAAUGGGGAACAGGGCCGAGGCUCUGCCCAAUGGGGAGGUUUCCCUGUCCGUCCCUGACCUAAUCCACAAGGACAGCCAGGACGAACCCACACUAAAGACGACUGAGUGCAGAAGGGCCUCCUCCCCUGGCGUCAUCGAGAGAAAUAGCCUCAAACUCAGCCUGGACCCCAUCAGCCUGGCUGAGUCUCUGGAGGACAGCAGCUUGCCAUCUCGGGCACGGACCUCCAGCCUUGACAAUGAAGGCCCUCACCCAGACCUGCUGUCCUUUGAGUAGAGCUGCUUCUGUUCCCGCCGAGCACCCCUUCCCCUCCACUGUGCACCCUCACUCUUGCUCCUGCUUUUUCCUGCUGUUUGUCCUCCUUGCACUAGGCUGCAGCAGAGAGCUGAUUCUCCCACACAGGCUGUUGCAGGGCCGGAAGUCCCUGAGCAGUCCUCAUUCCAGAGUCUGUCUGUGGAGUGGCCAAAGGAUCCAGGUGCAAUUCCAGCUCCUCUGGGUGCUGGCUGCAGUCCUUGGAUAUUGGAGCAUCUGCUCCUGAGAUGCCCUGGCUUCUCACCAACCUGCAGGGCCAGCAGCCCAGGAUGAAGGUUCUUGGGAGAAUUCUCCUUGCCUGUCUCCCACAUGCUGUCUGCUCUUUUCCCUCUCCUGCCAUCCUGGUUCCUUCCUUCUCUCUGGGGCCCCAAAGGCCUGCUGCCUCAUGCAGAAUAGGGCUGGAUGAGGGGUGAUGGAUUUGGCUUGAUGAUGGGCUUAGUCCCAGAAAGCCACACACCUGGAGCACGGCUCAGCCAUGGCUUCUCCUGGUUCCAAGACAGGGCAGGCCUCGGGUUGUCAUCCCGCCUCUGCCUGGGUGGAUGUGAGCUGGAGAGGUUGCAUUCCAGGCCGGAGACCUUGGGUAGUCUUGUUGUCAGGGUUCGUAGGUGUUUCUUAUCUAACCAGAUGGAGAACAUGGUGAGCAUUUCCUAGGGUGGGCCACAGAGCCAGCCACCAAGAGCCCAGGUUGCGAAUCUGCAGAGGCCCUGGGCAAGAUGGUGCAGCCAGCAAUGCUUGGACUCUCUGCACAGGAGGAGGAACCAGGGCUUCCCUUGCUGUGUGUGAAGACAGGGCGAGGGAGGCCCUGGCCAAAGCAGCAGAGCAAGUUCUGAUCUUGUUUGGAGGGAGGGCCCAGGAACCUGGCAUCCAGUCCCGUGAGAACUCAGAGCAGCAGUGGAGAAGGCAGUGAAAACAGGAUGCAGAAAGAGCAGUUGGCAGGACUCAGAGCUGCUUUUCAGAGGAUAAUACAGCCUGAGGGGUUGUCGUUCUAAGGUCUCAGCAUGGUAAGUGCCAGAACCAGGGUGAGGAGUGAGAGAGGUUGGAAUGUGCCAAGAACCAUGGGACAAGCUGCCCUUAGGUAGGACAUGCUCUCCUUUUACGCUGAAGGUGGUCUCCACAUGCGUGCCAAGGGGGUCCAGUGAGGGAGUGAUGGUUCACCCAACCCCACUGGUCCUGCACUCCUGAUUUAACCCAUUUCUGUGUUCCUGUCUCCCACCAGGGGUCCUGUCAUGCUGUCUUCCUGUGACCAGGACACCUUGUCAGGGGAUGAUCCCAGCGUCAGGGGCCUUUGCAACAAGAAGAGAACAUGCCAUUUCUUGAGCAGGGUGGCUGGUCCUGGGGAGAAGGCUGGGAAUGAUGCACCCAACCAGACAGGCUGUCCAGUCCUCCUCCUGUGAUUCCUGCUGCUUCCCCUUUUCCAUUUGUUGUUCUGCUUCCCACUCUGGGUGCCCCAGCACUCGUGUCUCACUUCAUCUCACCACCUAGUUCCUGCUUCUCUCCUCUGCCACAGAAAAUGUCUAAACCAGCUCCUGCAGACCUAGGAGCACCAGGGGACACCAGGAUGCAGGCUGCUCUUCUUGCAUCCUUGCUCCUGCAGCCAUGUGGCCUUGCCACAGCCUUCCUGCCACCUUUUCUUCUACCCUGUCUUCCCAGAGCAAAACCUGUUGUCUCAUCUUCCUCAGGAGGGCCCAGGCAUGCCAGGCUCCUUGCAGGCGGUGUUGAAGUGAGAGACGAUGUUACUGGAUUGAGUAGAUCCUGCCUUACUCUAGGAACGUCACAAGGCUGUGAUACCUGGUGCUGAUGCUCAGAAGUUCUCAGGACUAGCAUUUGUGGACCUGUGAGUUUUCCCAGAACAGCUUGGGGUUCAGCACAAAAACACAGAGCAGGGAGCCAGGAGGUAGCCCGCUUUCAUCUGUGCUUCCAUACCAACAGGGUUUGCUUCUCUGAUGGGAAACUUACUAGGCACCAGCACUGUGGGGCUGCUCCUUUCCCAGAAACCAGGGUGUCUCUGGCCAGGGGAAAUGGUAGCUGAAGGUACAGAGGUUGCAGGCCUGAGCUGGUUUAAACAUCUUGCUCUCCAGUCCACACCUAGCCACCACUGAAGUCUCGGCCCUCAGACCCAGGAUUAGCACAGGGAGCCUACUGGCUGUCCCAGGACUAUGGCCAGGGUGACCCCAGAGUUCCUCAGACCUGUGUCUAGCAUCGAAUAAGGGGCUGUGCAACCCUGCUUCAGGCUUCAGUUGGCCUCUCUGAUCUCCACCUUGGCCAUCCUUCAGCAAGGGCAAUGCUGCUCCUAGGGAUGGGGAGGCCUCUUUGAGGCUAAAAUCUGGUCCUUGAUGCUGCAGACAACACCUGGUGCUAGGGGCUCAGUGUUGCCCAAAGGCCAGCAGGAACAGCAACUUCUAUCCUGCUCAGGGCCUCAGAUCCGACCAGCUGUCUGUCCAAAGCCCCCCCUUGGCUCCCCAUGUCCAUCUUAACAGCCUGACCUUCCUGUGACUGCAGCAUGGCAAUCACCCCAUGACACACAUACCCCCCUCAUGGCGAGUCCAGCUCUGGAAACUUUACCCUGAGGUUGCCCAGUCUGCUCAAGGGCAGAGUAUCAAGGAGAAAUGAAGGGCCUGUCUUCUAUGUCCACAGAAGGAAGUUGGGGCCACAGAGUCUUUUCCUGUUACUCCCUCUCCAUGUCCCCAUACUCAGCAAUAGCUUUACCCUGAGAGAUAUAAGGUGAGCUUCCAGAACCUGGAAGGAGGGUGGACUCUUCCCCUGCAUGGAGAGAAAUGUAUCUGUCAUAAUGAAUGUGGGUGAUAUGAAGACAGUCACAUAAUCCAUCAACUUUUAAAGAACAAAGAGGUUGGCCCCAGUUUAGGGGAAGAAGAAUAAAUAACUAUAGAGCUCUUCUGAAUGUUUUCUAGAGACUUUAUAUUUAUAUUUUUAGUAAUUUUCUGGUAGAAGGAAGCUACACAAUAAAAUGAUUUGGUUUGGUUUGGUUGGUUUGGUGUUUUUCUCCUAAACGGGGGAGUGGUUGGUUUUUCUGAAGGCUGACUUGUGGAGCAGAGAGCACUGGCCUUUGGCUUCAUGAACCUGGAAGAGUGAGACGUUAAGGGAGAUGGAAUCGUGAGGAUGAUGGGUGCUGCUGACAGACCUCCAACCCAAGACUCCCAGGGGCAGACGACCUCACUGGAUGUGCCCUCCUUUGUUCCCAUAACUGGCUGGCUACUGGAGAAGUGUCCCUCUUCCAACCAGGCCUAUGGUUUUUUUCAGGGCAUCAACAUCGUGUGCGGAGGUGUGAUGGGCUCCCCCUCAGAAGGAAGCAGGGAGGAAAUGGGAGUGACCACUAGGUGGCCCACCUGGGGUCAAGGAGGGGACGGAGCUGGGUGUGUGUGCAGACACCCUUCAGAGAGGGACCAGAGCUGCCACCAGAUUCAGAGUCAUAGGUCCGUCCAUAAAACACACAGAGCUGCUGAUGCAGGCACUUCCCCCAGACUGGGGCAACCAAUGCCCCUUACUGGGAGAGUGUGGCUUGGGGCAGCCCUGGCCUGAGGCCCCUCUAACCCCUCUACUGCCCCCUGGCUGGUGUCAGACCUGGGGACCCAGAGGACCCCCAGCUGAGUGUAGGCCAGUACUUUACUUUCCUUCAGGGAAAGAGUGGAGAAGAGACAGCAAAGGGGAGGAAAAGUGGCAUGUAGUCCGUUCACAGAAGCCAUACACCUUUCUAAAGGGGGAAGGAUGGGGCCUUUCUGCCAGCCCUGUCAUUCGCCCAUCAGAAACGUCUGGGACAUAAGGCUGAAUCUCCAGCCUUUUCUGCCUCGAAUUCUACUCGUGCACUUCUUUCUCAGGGGAUGAGCAAGAAGACAAUGGAGCGUUCCCGCUGCUCGCUUGCUCUGCAGUGAGAUGCAGUGUGUUGUUCUGGGAGGACGGCAGUAAUGCAAAAACCAAUCCAGCACAUUCCAUGCAUGGGAAAGGCAUUGAAAAUACUUACAAUAGCGAAUUUUUCCUUUAAGCCUAAGCGUAAGUGACUUUUCUUUGGGCGACCGCUCCCAUUGGACGGCUUCAGGACCGCCUUCUGCAGUCAUUCAGGUGUGAAAUGUGCCUUUAAUAUGCCUUUCUUUCCCACUAUUAUGCAAAGUAGUUAUUUUCGGCUAAGAUCAAAUAUGAAAAACUACAAUGUAAGGAAAACUUGAAAAGUGUACGUAUAAAAGGAGUGCAUAUGCCUUAUUUUGUAAUGUUGAGCUCUAAGCUGAGUCAUUGAUCUAGAAGUUGGGGUACAAAGUUACGUUUAUUCAGACGAUUUGGCCAAGCCGGUUGGGGAGCAAAGUGCUGUCUGGGGCACAAUAAUAACAUUGGUGGAAGAGAGAUACCUGCUUCUGUCUCUCACUAUGCCCACAAUGGGUGAUGACACCAGGGAAGCUGCCCUCCUCUUAUGCUAACAGGCAAUGUUAGCAGAACAUGAAAACACACCAGAAGCGUCAAAGGUAUGUAUGUGGUGGGGGGGAGGGAAAGCGGUUUUCCUCUGAGCUUAAUCUGCCCAAAGUAGUUGCCGAGGGAAACGAACAAAUCAGAAUUCAUCAGGAAACCCAGCUCUUUCCUAAGGUGUAGGCAUGUUCCGGUGGGGAAGCCCAGUGGGGAUUCAAAAUUUCUGGAAUUAACUAAUCCGGGGCUGCACCUCAGACACUGCUUCAAACUCAGAGAAUUCCUUCUUGGCCAAUUUGCUCUGCUCUCAGACUUUUUAAAAAUCAAUCCCUUCAAAGUCAGUCAAUCCUAGGAAUGUUCUAGAACUCUCGGUGUUUGCGUCAAUUCCCUGCCCGCUCUGUCCCUACAGCUCUGCCUGGUCCAGCUUCCUUGCCUUUGAGAUUUUGGCCCUGGGGAUCCCGGGGGCUUCACUCAGCAUUGCCCUUGCCAGGCCAACUGCAGGGUGGGGGGUACCCCAACUGCAGCCGCUGCGGUGGCUCCCCUGUGAGUGGGAACAAGUAAUUAAGCCCACACAGAGAAAGGCGGCUCUCCUAGAUGAAUCCCCCCCCUCCCUGAGCCGCCUCACAAGUGCAGAUGGCAUUUAAUGUCUUCCAUCUCUCCCAAGGAAAUCCACUCUGGAAACCUUCAUUUCAGUUGUCCGGCAAAAGCAUCUUCAAGCACUUUGCCCUCCAGGACACCCUCCUCCCUGCUGCCGCUUGCGCUCGGUGAAAGCGCGGAGUCCCCCGCCGCUUGCCGACCACUAAUGAGAAAAUUCCUCCGCGUUCGUCUCUAGGGCCCGACCCCCGGAGACACAAAUCCUCUUUGUGUCCAGCUUAUCUCCAGCUGCUGCCAUGAUAAAUAGUCCAGCUCCAGGGAGCCUGGGGAAGCGCUACCCCACGGAACGAAGCACAGAGGGAAGCGAGCUUGAGGAAAUAUUUUAAGGACCAACUCAGACACAUCAGGCUACUUUCUCUCUCGUGGGAGGUGCCUGAGGAAUCUGCCCCUCACCAAGCAGGAAACACUGCCAGUAUUUCUCCCUUGGAAAAGACAAAAAAUGCCCCAAAGCAAAAAGCAGUCGACCAAAAAAAUGCAACUUUUGUGUUUUACAGUGGUUUCCAGUGUCAUCAGCUUAGCCACCAUCUCCUCCUCGGUAUGGUCUCUACACUCUGGUUUAUUCUGUAAUUCCUGUGGGUUUGGUCUGGUGUGUAAGCACAGCCUGCUUCAUGGGCUAACUCAUGGCAACUUAACAGCAUCUCACUGGAGCUACCGUGGAGUAGUUCUGGUCAGUGCAGGCCACCACAAGGCCAGUGGAGGGGCAGCCUGGCCUUUGCCAUGGAGGGACAGGGAACUCCACCAGCCCUGAGUAGGGCUUGCAGCUUCUGCCUGUGGAUGAACUCCUUCUGCGUCCUGAGCCCACAACAGAUGGACCCAAUGGCUGGAUAGGAGAACCCAGAACAAGCUUGCAGCACCUUCCCCGUCAGUCUCUAGGUAUCUGGUAAAUUCUGUUUGUCAGCCUUCCUUGCUCAUUUUAAAUCCUGGGUCCUCUAUGUCAAGAGCUGUCAAAAAUUCUUUGCAGCAUACCUGAUGAAUUCCCUUUAGGCCAGGCGGUGGUGUGACAUUUCCAAGAGCUCAGUCUUCUGGACAGGCUGUGUAGGUCGUCUGGGAAGUGAUCUCAGGCAUAACAAAGUCGAGGGACAAGGCUGUGGUCAUGGUCAGCCUCCCUGCCCAUGCCUCUCUCCACAUCCCCCCAGUUCAUCAAUCAAUGAUUAUGUAAGUAGUACAGAUACGACUAGGCUGGGGACUUUUCUGGGAAGCACUUGGGAGAGGGGUGAGCUGGGCUCUCUGUGCUCCAGACCAUCCACAAUCCAGCCCAGUCAACUGUGCCAGCUUCAUCUGCUACCACUGCCUCUAUGUUCCGGUACCUCAUUACCCCAAACUGUUCAGAAUCACUUCUGUGUCUUUGUUCAAGGCCAUCCAUCUGCCUGGUCACUCCUGCCUUCCUUUCUCUUCUCUCUGACUUUGACAAGAUAUGUUAAUUUAGCCUUCAGAUUUCUGCUCAGGAGGCACCCCUUCCUCUGGGAUCCCUGCCCAGACACCACCCCCAGCUACUCCUCUGCUCCCCAGUAGCACCUGGUGCAUUUCUCCAUUGUGGCACUUGCCACAUGACAUGGAAAGGAGCUGCCUGCUGGUAUCUCUUCCACAAGUCUCUGAGCAUCUCAAGGGCAGGGGCCUUAUUAUCUUCAUCUCUGACCCCCCUCAGUCCCCAGAACUGCACCUGGCACAUCACAGGAGCUUGAUAAAUUUGAAAUGAACUCAACUUGUCAUUUAAUUUGGAAAAUUAUAUAUGUAUAUAUAAAUACACAUACACACACACAAUCUAGUGCUAAGUGGCAUGGUGUAGACCAAACCCACCCGUUUCACCCUCCUUCCUCAGGACCUCCACCCACAGGUGGUCUCUGCAGCUGAUCCACUCUAGAGAAGGAUGGAGAGAGGCCAUUUUUAAAGUGGAAAAUGAUUAAUGGGCCUCUGUGUAGCUCAUUUCUCUCCAGCCAGAGCCUUCAUGAACUCUGCUCCCUGAACAGGUGUCCCCUUGCCAUGGAGCCAGGAGAAGCAGGUACUUAGGUCCAGCCUAAUGUAAGAAGAAGGGUAAGACUCCAGUGCCAGGCACCUGCCCACCUCUAGUCAUUGCUCCUCCAGCUGCUCUUAAUUCCAGUUCUUAAUAUUCAUACUUUACCAUCUAGGGCUUCGUUAUUAAUUGGUGCUUUAUUAUUCUAUUUCUAAAGCUCUUAUGUAUUCCAGGAAUUGAGCUAAUCAAUUUACAUUCAUUAUCUCCCUUGUUUUUCUCAAUAGCCCUGCAAGGGAAGUCCUCUUAAGCCCCCUCACCUUUUUUUUAGAUACAGACAAUACCUUGCUGCAUUCAAAGAAUUCACAGACAUGAGCUCAUUAAUCCUUAUAUCUUGUGAGAUGGUGUUUUUCAGCCCUAGUUUACAGAUAGGUAAACUAAGACUGAGGUGAUGACUAAGCAGACUGCCCGAGUCUUACAACAGUAAAAAGGCAGAGCUAGACCUGAAGGCCUAGGUUUUUAGACCUAAGGAGCAGACGGCUUUCCCACCACCACGUGGUUCUUCUGUUUUCAUCAUACCCAUCUGACAAAAAUGUGCAGGAAAUGUUCAUGGCCCAGAAACAUCUUGUGGAGUUGGACCUUCUCUAGGGGUGAAUGCAGUUUCGUUAAAUGCUGAAUAUUCAUGUAGGAUAGGUAUUUAGAAACCCAUUCACCAACUCCGUAUUUUACAGAAGAGGAAACAGAAAAGACUCUGGUUUUUCAGUGUUAACCUGUGCUGGCAUGGUCUCUGAUUCCCCGCAUAACUCUAUGAGCAAAGGAAUCCAAGACCCAAUGUGGAACCCUGGAGAGCAGGCUUGCUUCUGGGUCUUUUCUUGAACGAACCAGAAGGAUUUGGCUCCCAUCUCUCUGAAUAUGGCUGCAUUUCGCUUCUUCUCUGCUAUGGAUUGCUGUGAACCCAGAACUCAGAAUGGCUCAUGCUUUGGGGUUCCAGACACAAUGUCUCUUCAUGUUUCCUGGAAAUAAAUCUCAGCUCCUCUCUUUAAUAACUUUAAAAGGUAAGGCCAGUGGGAUGAAAUGAAUCACUAUGAUUUGAAGAUGGGUGAGAGAAUGGGCAUAGACUUUGGUACAUUCCACACAAAUCAAAUUUUAUUAUUAGUAGUAGUAUUAGUAUUAGUAUUAAAGUAUAGCUGAUUUACAAUGUUGCAGCCAUUUAUGCCAUAUGUAUAUAUGUGUGUGUGUGUGUGUGUGUUCAUAUAUACAUAUAUAUUCAUAUUUUCCAUCAUGGUCUAUCCCAGGAGACUGGAUAUGGUUCCCUGUGCUGUACAGCAGGACUUCAUUGCCUAUCCAUUCUAAAAUGUGAAUUAGCAGAAAAAUUCAAAGGACUUUAGAAGCAAUAUGACAAAUUCUUCAGAAUGAGCUUCUAGUCAGUAGAUUCUCUGAUGGAGCCUGGCUCUGGGCAGCACACAUUUCUACAUGCUGUGGAGGAUUCAAGGGAACAGGAACCAGACAUGAGUUCCUUCAAAAUCCCCACAGGUACCAGAAUGCAGAGCCAUAUCCAUGCUGUGGAAGGGAUUAGCAUAAAUAAAACUAGGCAGCAUCAGAGAUAAAGUGUUUCCAGGGUGAUGUCUGGCAGGAAGACUGGAAAGAAGGUGAGUUGCCCAGGCGGGAGGGAGGAGGGUGCGUGAG